rnacentral:rRNA from 1 species
GAUGAACGCUGGCGGCGUGCCUAAUACAUGCAAGUAGAACGCUGAAGCUUGGUGCUUGCACCGAGCGGAAGAGUUGCGAACGGGUGAGUAACGCGUAGGUAACCUGCCUCUUAGCGGGGGAUAACUAUUGGAAACGAUAGCUAAUACCGCAUAAAAGUCGGCAUUGCAUGAUGUUGACUUGAAAGGUGCAACUGCAUCACUAAGAGAUGGACCUGCGUUGUAUUAGCUAGUUGGUGAGGUAACGGCUCACCAAGGCGACGAUACAUAGCCGACCUGAGAGGGUGAUCGGCCACACUGGGACUGAGACACGGCCCAGACUCCUACGGGAGGCAGCAGUAGGGAAUCUUCGGCAAUGGACGGAAGUCUGACCGAGCAACGCCGCGUGAGUGAAGAAGGUUUUCGGAUCGUAAAGCUCUGUUGUAAGAGAAGAACGAGUGUGAGAGUGGAAAGUUCACACUGUGACGGUAACUUACCAGAAAGGGACGGCUAACUACGUGCCAGCAGCCGCGGUAAUACGUAGGUCCCGAGCGUUAUCCGGAUUUAUUGGGCGUAAAGCGAGCGCAGGCGGUUAGAUAAGUCUGAAGUUAAAGGCUGUGGCUUAACCAUAGUACGCUUUGGAAACUGUUUAACUUGAGUGCAGAAGGGGAAAGUGGAAUUCCAUGUGUAGCGGUGAAAUGCGUAGAUAUAUGGAGGAACACCGGUGGCGAAAGCGGCUCUCUGGUCUGUAACUGACGCUGAGGCUCGAAAGCGUGGGGAGCAAACAGG